rnacentral:tRNA from 1 species
GCCUUCGUAGUGUAGUGGUCAGCACGCUCGACGCGUAACCGAGAGGUCCGUGGUUCGAUUCCUGGCGAAGCCG